rnacentral:rRNA from 1 species
AUAUUGGACAAUGGGGGCAACCCUGAUCCAGCCAUGCCGCGUGUGUGAAGAAGGUCUUCGGAUUGUAAAGCACUUUAAGUAGGGAGGAAGGGCUUUAGGCUAAUACCCUUAAGCUUUGACGUUACCAAGAGAAUAAGCCCCGGCUAAGUCGGUGGCAGCAGCCGCGGUAAUACAGAGGGUGCAAGCGUUAAUCGGAAUUACUGGGCGUAAAGCGCGCGUAGGUGGUUCAGUAAGAUGGGUGUGAAAUCCCAGGGCUUAACCUGGGAACUGCUUUCAUAACUGCUGAGCUAGAGUACGGUAGAGGGUAGUGGAAUUUCCUGUGUAGCGGUGAAAUGCGUAGAUAUAGGAAGGAACACCAGUGGCGAAGGCGACUACCUGGACUGAUACUGACACUGAGGUGCGAAAGCGUGGGGAGCAAAC